AAUGAACGCUGGCGGCAGGCCUAACACAUGCAAGUCGAACGGAGUUAUAUUGUAGCUUGCUAUGGUAUAACUUAGUGGCAGACGGGUGAGUAAUGUAUAGGAAUCUACCUAGUAGUACGGAAUAAUUGUUGGAAACGGCAACUAAUACCGUAUACGCCCUACGGGGAAGGAAUUAAUUGCUAUUAGAUGAGCCUAUAUUAGAUUAGCUAGUUGGUGGAGUAAUAGCCUACCAAGGACAAUGAUCUAUAGCUGAUCUGAGAGGAUGAUCAGCCACACUGGAACUGAGAUACGGUCCAG
rnacentral:rRNA from 1 species